UACAGAGGUCUCAAGCGUUGUUCGGAAUUACUGGGCGUAAAGGGUGCGCAGGCCGCGCGGGCAGUCAAAUGUGUAAUUCAGGGGCUCAACCCCUGCACUGCGCUUGAUACUUCCGCGCUCGAGCUUUGGAGAGGAGUCUGGAAUUCUCGGUGUAGCAGUGAAAUGCGUGGAUAUCGAGAAGAACACUUAGGGCGAAGGCAAGACUCUGGACAGUUACUGACACUGAGGCACGAAGGCCAGGGGAGCAAACGGG
rnacentral:rRNA from 1 species